CCCAGCGCAUUCCUGGGAGCCUGCGCUCCUGCCUCUUGGAAUUGUGCUCCCGGCCCCGGGCGAAAAGAGCAGCAACAACAACAACAACAAAAAGCAGGCGAGCCUUUGGCUGGGUUUUGGGAGGCUCCAGAAGAAAGUGUUCCGGGCAGGAGUUCAGGCCGUGGACAGUGGGAGAAGGGGGAGGGAGGGAGGAGGCAGCGGGAAAAGCUGGAUAAUCCUGGCCUUGCGUCACCUCCCGCGGCCCCGCGCGCACAGUUCGUUGCUGCAAUGGGCUGUUGGGACAGAGUUCCUGAAGGAAUUGCUUCCCUGGAAUUUCAUCACCAAAUCCCUGCCUUUCCCACCUUAAAAUCCGCCAGGGAUUGUCUGAAACGCUUUGAUGAGGUGCCCUUAAUUGGGAUUGGAAUUCUGGAGGCAUUACCUGGGAUACAGCUGAGGGGAUUGCACAAAGAGUUCGGAAAAAAUUAAUUUGGAUUAAAAUUUGACUCCUUUUUGUUGCUUUCCCGGAGUUUGGUGGAGCCGCGUGAAGAUUUCCCUUUAUUCCAAGAGAAAUUUUCCAUUAUGUUCCCCUCCUAAAAAAAGGUGGAUGUGUUUUGGGAGACUAGUCUUGAAAUUUUAAUAACUUCUAAUUUUUUCUUUUAUUUUUCUUUUUUAAUUUUAAUUCUAAACAUUUUAAACACAUCAACUAAAAAAAGAAAAGUGCAUAAGGGAAGGAAAUAACGGGAUAUCGAUGGAAAAUCAAUCCUUUUUUUAAUGGGAUGGUUUGGGAAAGGGCCC
rnacentral:lncRNA from 1 species